UCAAUCGUCUCACUCAGAUAUGGGGGAAAGAAAGAGGAAAUGGAACGAGGGAGGAAACUAUGGAUACGAGAAGAAGCCGUGGACGGGCAACCAGGGACAAGACUAUAAUCAACAGCAGCAAGUUCCACAAAGGCGACCGUGCCCGAGGUGCCACAAGGUUUAUCUGGGAGAAGUUAAUUGCAAAAUAAAAAGAUACAAAUAUAGAAGAAAAAAAUAUAUAAAGAAAACAAAACAAAUAAUAAAGAAAAUAGGAAAUGAAAACAAAAAUGAAAAGAAAAACGUAAAAAAGAAAAAAAAAUAGCAUAUUAAAAAAACAGAAAAAGAAAAAAAAAAGAAAACAGGAAAUAAAAACAAAAAAAAUGGCAAAAAUGAGACUCAAACUCCUAAUUUCGGGGACAAACUAGUUUAAGGCGCACAACCAACCAUUGCACCACAACCUUUAAUUUGCUUUUAUUUGUCAUGAUAAUAAUUUAACCUAUUCUAUUUGGGUCGGGUCAAGACGGAGCUGACCCGACCUCAUCCUAUGAGGACGCAUGCACGG
rnacentral:lncRNA from 1 species